rnacentral:lncRNA from 1 species
UUUAUUGAAUUGUGUGAGUAUUUUUAUAAAGAUUAUAGGAUCGUGUGUAAAAAAAAUUGAGGAGAGGAAAAAAAUCUCGGCUAGACUAAGCUUGGUUGACAGAGAGCCAGCUCGGUAUUGGCUGUGAAGCAGCACAAACCGAUUCCUUUUUCUCUCUUUUUUUUAAUACUCAACAGGUACUAUAUAGAGAUAGAGAUGUGUGAAAACAUGAAAUCAUUAUGUAAUUUC